rnacentral:lncRNA from 1 species
GCUGUUCCUUGUCCUGGAGAAACGUCUCAGAGGUCCCCGGAGGGAGCUGGCAAAGAUGGAAUGCACGCGACCCUGGCUCAGCAAACUGCAAACAGCCUGGAGUCUGCCUGUGGGGAGCGGUCGACCAAUGACGCCUGAGUGGCUGCUGCCUGCGCCAGAGCUGCAGGGGAGGCUCGGUGCUGGGAAGAAUGCACGUUCCAGGGCCCUCUUUCAGCCUCUCUCAAGCCUGAAUUUGGGAAGACUGCGGCCAGUAAAAAUGCUCCAUAAAAUGUUCCACAUGGUUUCCGGCGCGCGUGCGCUCUGUGAAAUGGCUCGAGAAGCGAUUAGCACGACCAUCCCUCACAUACUUACAUUUUUUUGUGGUGAGAACAUUUAAAGCCCACUCUUUCCAGUUCUUAAGUAUGCAUUAAUAGCUGUAAUCACCAUGUUGUACAUCAGAGCUCCAGAACUUACUCAUCUUAGAGCUGAAACUUUGUGCUCUCUGGCCGGCGUCUCUGCUGCCCCCUCCAGCCCCUGGUAAACACCCUACCGCUCUGGAUUUCAUGAGUUCAACUUGAAUUUUAGCGUCCACGUGUAAGUGAGAGCACGCAGUAUCUGUCUGUCUGUGCCUGGCUUAUUUCACUUGGCAUAAUGUCCUCCACGUUCAUCCAGGUUGUUGCAAAUGACUGAAUCUCAUUCUUUUUUGUUUUUUGAGACGGAGUCUUGCUCUGUCACCCAGGCACCAUCUCAGCUCACUGCAACCUCCGCCUCCCGGGUUCAAGCGAUUCUCCUGACUUAGCCUCUGAGUAGCUGGGAUUACAGGCAUGUGCCACCACGCCCGGCUGAUUUUUGUACCUUUAGUAGAGAUGGGGUCUCACCAUGUUGGCUGGUCUCGAACUCCUGACCUCAGGUGAUCUGCCCGCCUUGGCCUCCCAGAGUGCCGGGGUUACAAGCAUGAGCCACCGCGCCUGGCCUGAAUCUCAUUCAUUUCUAUGGCUGAGUAGUACUCCGCUGUGUAUCUACACUACAUAUGUAAAAUUCACUCAUCUGCCAUCGGACUCUUCCAUAUCUUGGCAGUUGUGGGCAGUGCAGCAGUGAACACGGGGGUGCUGAUGUCUCCCCGAGGUGCAGAGUCCACUUCCCUUGGGUGCCUCCCCAGCAGAGGGAUUGCUGGAUCCUAGGACAGUUGUAUUUUUAAUUUUUUGACGAACUGCCAUAGUGUUUUCCAUAAUGGCUGUACUAAUUUACAUUUCCACCAACACUGCACCAGGGUUCCUCUUGUCCACAUCCUCCCCAACGCUGGCUGGCUUUUGUGUUUUCAUAAUUGCCCUCCUAACAGGUGUGAGGCAAUAGCCCAUUUGGUUUUGAUUUCCAUUUCCCUGAUGAGUGCUGAUGGGACACUUUUGUCAUAUGCCUGUUUCCCAUUAUCCUGUCUUCUUCGGAGAAAUCUCUGUGGAGGUCUUUGACCUGCCUUAAAAUUGAGUUCCUUAUUUUCUUGCUGGUGAGUCCCACAUGUAUCUGGAUGUCCAUUCCUUAUCAAUGUAUGACUGGAAACAUUUUCUCCUGCCCGGAGGAAAUAUUUGUUUUCCUCUGCUUGUUUCCUUUGCUGUGCUGAAGCUGUUUAAUCUGAUGCUGUCUCGCGUGUGUGCGUUUGUGCUGCCUUUGUUUUGAUGUCAUAUUUCCAGGGAUUUCUUAAAAGUGCACCUGCACUCACCGUUGAUGGGAACGCAUGACGGUGCGGCCACUGUGGAAAGCAUUAGGGCUGUUUCUCAAAAAAUUAAAAAUUAAAUUCCACUUCUGGGUAUAUACCUCCCAAAACUGAAAGCAAGGGCACGAAGAGAUAUUCGUCCAUCCCUAUUUGUAGCAGCCAUAUUCACAAUCACCAAAGGUGGACACAACACGGUGUCUCCUGACAGAUGCAUGGUCCAUCCACACAAGGGGAUAUCACUCAAUCUUAAAACCAAAGGAAGCUCUGACACCUACUACAACAUGGAAAGACCCUGGGGACAUACUGCUCAGUGAAGUAAGCCAGUCACAAAGGGACAAGUACUGCAUGAUUCUACUUACAGGAGGUCCCUAGUCAAGUUCACUGAGCCAGACAGUAGGAUGGGGGUUGUCAGAGGCUGGGGAGAGGAAAAAGGGGGAGUUACUGUUUACUGAGUAUAGAGUUUCAGGUGUGCAAGAUGGAAAGUGUUCUGGAAAUGGAUGGUGGUGAUGAAUU